rnacentral:rRNA from 1 species
AUUGAACGCUGGCGGCAGGCUUAACACAUGCAAGUCGAGCGAGCGGCGGACGGGUGAGUAAUGUCUGGGAAACUGCCUGAUGGAGGGGGAUAACUACUGGAAACGGUAGCUACUACCGCAUACCAUCAGAUGUGCCCAGAUGGGUUGAGCUAGUAGGUGGGGUAUUGGCUCACCUAGGCGACGAUCCCUCGCUGGUUUGAGAGGAUGACCAUCCACAUUGUAACGGAGACACGGUCCAAACUCCUACGUGAGGCAGUAGUGGGGAAUAUGGUACAAUUGGCGCCAGCCGGAUGCAGCCAUGCCGCGUGUGUGAAGAAGGCCUUCGUGUUGUAAUGCACUUUCAUCGAGGAGGCGUGACUCGCAGAAGAAGCACCGGCUAACUCCGUGCCAGCAGCCGCUGUAAUUC